UACGUAGGGUGCAAGCGUUGUCCGGAAUUAUUGGGCGUAAAGAGCGUGUAGGCGGCCCCCAUUAGUCCGCUGUGAAAGUCCAGGGCUCAACCCUGGAAUGCCGGUGGAUACUGUGGGGGCUAGAGUCCGGAAGGGGCGAGUGGAAUUCCUGGUGUAGCGGUGAAAUGCGCAGAUAUCAGGAGGAACACCAAUGGCGAAGGCAGCUCGCUGGGACGUGACUGACGCUGAGACGCGAAAGCGUGGGGGAGCAAAC
rnacentral:rRNA from 1 species